rnacentral:rRNA from 1 species
GACGAACGCUGGCGGCGUGCCUAACACAUGCAAGUCGAGCGAACGGACGAGAAGCUUGCUUCGCUGAUGUUAGCGGCGGACGGGAGAGUAACACGUGGAUAACCUACCUAUAAGACUGGGAUAAUUUCGGGAAACCGGAGCUAAUACCGGAUAAUAUUAUGAACCGCAGGGGUCAAAAGUGAAAGACGGUCUUGCUGUCACUAAUAGAUGGAUCCGCGCUGAAUUAGCUUGUUGGUAAGGUAACGGCUUACCAAGGUAACGAUGCAUAGCCGACGCGAGAGGGAGAUAGGCCACACGGGAUGGGAGACAGAGUCCCGACUCCUGAGCUAGGCCGCAGUCCGGACUCUUCCGCAAUGGGCGAGUGCCGGACGGAGCGCCGCGGCGUGAGUGCUGACGGUGUUCUGCUCGUAAAACGCUGUUGUUCGUGGGAAACAUAUAUGUUAUGAACUGUGACCAUCUUGACGGUACCUGGUCAGGAAGCCACGGCUAACUACGUG